GAUCAUGGCUCAGGAUGAACGCUAGCUACAGGCUUAACACAUGCAAGUCGAGGGGCAGCAUGUCGGUUGCUUGCAACCGAUGAUGGCGACCGGCGCACGGGUGAGUAACGCGUAUCCAACCUACCCUUGUCCGAUCGGAUAACCCGUCGAAAGGCGGCCUAACACGAUAUGCGGUUCACAGCAGGCAUCUAAGGUGAACGAAAUGUGAAGGAGGAAGGAUGGGGAUGCGU
rnacentral:rRNA from 1 species